CUUAUCCACCAAAUGGUGCAGAAUUCAUAGCAGCUGCUAUAUGUUCUGGUGUUGGUACUUUGUUAACUAUUGCAGCUUUUUGUAUUUGUAGUGUGAAGCUGAUGAUACGAAAUGAUGAUUGAAUCAUGCCAAACAAUUAAACACUAAUUUCAUGUAGAAACAAUAAUUAUAGUGAUCCUAAUAUUGACACUACUUUUUAGUUGAUUAUCAUGUACUGUCUAUUAGUAAAAUGUAUUACAUAUAGUUAAAGCAA